CUGCAGGUCCUUGUUGUAGGUGCUUGGGAGUCCUUUGAGAACCAUGAGAAUAGCAGCCAGCUGCAGAGAGAAACAGCAGGCUCACCCGUCCGAACACGCGGCCAGCUUUGCUGCGGAUCAGUUCCAGGCUAUCGGGGUUCUUCUUCUGAGGCAUCAGGCUGCUGCCAGUGCUGAAAGAAAAGUGUGUGCAGGGUAACGUGACUGUCUCCCCACGUCUGCCGAUCCCUGCUGAAACAACAUGCCUGAGAGGACAGCAGGAGAGAGCCUACAGAGAGCACCCCCAGACUGCCCCUCCGGAGAAGCAAAGUUCAUCCUCACCUCAGCUGCCAUUUCGGACGACAUUUUCCUGGUGUGCGCAGUGAUCCUGGCAACCGGCGCAACCUGCGGAACAGCGAGGUGAG